rnacentral:lncRNA from 1 species
UUCCCUGUCUACUGGACGGCUUGCCUGGCUGCCCGCGCCGCCGAGGAGGCGGAGCAUCAAGCUCUUUCGCGGGGGACGUGUCGCCAUCUCGUGGCACCGG